rnacentral:rRNA from 1 species
UACGGAAGGCAGCAGUGGGGAAUAUUGCACAAUGGGCGAAAGCCUGAUGCAGCUAUGCCGCGUGUAUGAAGAAGGCCUUAGGGUUGUAAAGUACUUUCAUCGGGGAGGAAAAACAAAACUAAUAAUUUUAUUUCUUGACGUUACCCGAAAAAGAAGCACCGGCUAACUCCGUGCCAGCAGCCGCGGUAAUACGGAGGGUGCUAGCGUUAAUCAGAAUUACUGGGCGUAAAGAGCACGUAGGUGGUUUUUUAAGUCAGAUGUGAAAUCCCUGGGCUUAACCUAGGAACUGCAUUUUGAAACUGAAAUACUAGAGUAUCGUAGAGGGAGGUAGAAUUCUAGGUGUAGCGGUGAAAUGCGUAGAUAUCUGGAGGAAUACCUGUGGCGAAAGCGGCCUCCUAAACGAAUACUGACACUGAGGUGCGAAAGCGU